GGGGGUGCCAUGGCUUCGACGGGGCAAACUGAAAUUUAGGGAGCGUGUCCAGGUUGGUCUCCACGGUCCUGGUAAAAAGGAGCCCAAAUCAUAAUUGCUGAUUCUUAUGAACCAGCUGCAAUGGCCGCUUAAUUAGCGAUCCCAUUCAUGAGGCGCCUGUGCCAAGAAACAGAAUCAGGCAACGCUGUUAAGUACGCAGUCUAACUGUGCUUUGAGGCUGCCGGGUCUCCUCGUUAAAAACUCACCGGGGUUUGUCACUGGCACGAAAGUGAACAGCCUUGUCUACUGGCAAAAACCGUAGACUACACACGUAGCGCCUUAUCUAGAUGUUGUUUCGGACGUGGGUUCGAUUCCCACCACCUCCACCA
rnacentral:tmRNA from 1 species